CAGCCGCUGCCAGGAACCCCAGGGACCCGUGCAAACACAAAACCUGUAACUUACACUCUUACUGAUUCAUCAGUUCACACCACAACACCAGAAAAUAGACAUGACGAGCAGACCAACCAGAGCAGGCAGCACAAGGGAGCUGUGAGAAGGAGAAGAGCGACCACAGAACCGCGAGCUAGAAAGAGCUGGACCAAAGAGGGCCAGGAGCCACCUGUUGGUUCUUUAGAGCAUCGGGGAGGAGACAGGUGGCACCAUCUAGCUUGUCCAUGGCAGGACCAGAAAGAGGGCCUGUCACAUGCCAACCCAGCUGGCUGGUAGCUGACCAGAAGGGCAGGUGGUGGGGCUGCCCCCAGGCCUUGUCCAGGAUGGGGUGCCCGUGCUGGGGGCCAGGGGGGCACAGACCCCGUCCUUCCUGACAGGCUGAGGACCAGUGUUUGGUGAGGGGGCGGCCCUGGGGCUGGGCUGUGUGGAGCCUUUCUGCUAAGGCAGAGAGAAGCAGCCCUCCCUGUCUCAUGUGGUCGGGAGGGGUCAGCACCCACCUCUGGGUGGCCAUCCGGGAGCCCUGCCCCUU
rnacentral:lncRNA from 1 species